GACUUCGUGGUGUAACGGUAGCAUACUCGGCUCGUAUUCGAGCGGUCUAGGUUCGAGUUCCGGCAAAGACA
rnacentral:tRNA from 1 species